rnacentral:lncRNA from 1 species
CCUGGAUUGAGCCUGUGACCUUCCCACAUUCACCCUUCUCCCCACCCACAAAGGGGUAAUCCUCACGGGGGCUUCCGAGGUUGGCCUUGAGCCCCCUAAGGCUAGGAAGCUUACAUUCUCUUAAGGUGACUCACUUCCUGUUUGGGCUGAGGAAUGUGGCGCCUGGGUACUCCGAGCCGGCUCCUUGGAAACGGCUGGACCCGCCCACCAGAGCCUUAAAGCAACAGUGCUCCCACGACGGGCUUGUCCUAGUGGUCCUGAGGAACGGUCCCAGAAUUCCUGAAGGCAGAGGUCGGCUGCCAAGUCCCACAGUCCACAUGCUCCCUCUUCCUCACUCGACUUUAAGUUCCCUGGAGGAACGACAACUCCACUGCUUUUAGCCAGCGUGCAAGUGGUUCCCAGGACCAUUUCAGAGAAAGGGAUUGUGUGGUGAGACCUUACUAACCUGGCCUAAUCCUCCCUGGGCCUGUCAUGUUUUUGUCGAAAACUGGGAACAGUACUCUGGGCUUCUAAAGAAUCCAUGAGACCAUCUAUCAGUGUCCGAGGCAGGGCCCGGACUCUCUGCAAGGGAACAGCGGGCCGAACCUGCAGAUCCACAAUGACUGCUGAUGACCCUAGAGGCCUCCACAGAAAAACCCACCAGUGGAACAGAGCAGCGGACACAGGACUGCAGCAGCUGGGAUUGAACUCGGGACCUUGUGCUUGUGAGGCAGGCGGCAGAACCACUGAGCUAAAUCUCUGGCCCGAAAGCUACUACUUAGACAUCACUGGAGCAGUUUUUCAAGAGGGAUGGACAGAGGCAUCAAAAAUCAGGAAUCCCACGACAUGGGUGACAGAGCCGUCUUCCCUCCCUGGUGACUCAUUCCAGCCUGGCCAGCAAAGUCAUUGCAGACUGCAUUCAAGGAGUCCUUCCAGCUUUGUUCAGAAUGAGGGUCACCUGCCUGGAAAAAUAUCAACAUCACCCUGACAUUUCUGAAUGCCACAAAAGUUUUGAAUGGCAAGAGCUGGGGGUGGAACUGUUUCCAUGGUGAUGGAGAAGCCAGUGCCAGCACUGAAGGCAUGAGGAGUGGGCAGCGUGCACAUUUAGUGUUUGAACUUGAUGCUCCCAUCUGCAAUGAGAAUGGAUCUGAGAGAGAG